rnacentral:lncRNA from 1 species
UCCCUGUCAGCCGAAUGUGCUCGAGGGUACGCUUCAGGCCGUACUGCUGAAUAACCCGGUUCCCGGCUCUGAAACCGUCCCCGUAGGCAACGGAGGUGUCUGACUCGAUCUGGUGCUUGAAGAAGUCGCCGAGCUUCCGCUCGAACUGAGACCUCCCGCCCUUUUUUGUUGAUGUGGAUGACGAAGAGGAUGAGGAUGUUGAUGCAGCGUUGCUACCUGAUCCUGCCAUGAUCUCCGACUCGAUCCACAGGUGGGCGAGGACUUGACAUAUGCCUUCUUCUAUAUCUGGAGUGAGCGUGCAGUAUCCUGUGAAUGCACUGUCCAUCUUCAUUACCCCAUAACACAGUGAUAAGUAAAUGAUAUAACAAGCUGAUGCAAACUUGCCAAUAUACUAAUGGUUGUCAACUUCUCGAGUGGAGAUUAACAUUAAUUGGUUAAAAGUCUCAUAGCAAGAUAACACAACUUCAAGCCCAAUAAAUCUAAAAUUAGUUCAGUUAUCUCAGUUGGUAAUUCUGGGUUCUAAAGGUACAUGAAUGUAAUACUUCGUAUAAGAUUUUGGCCCUGACUUGUAAAGGCCUUCUAAGCUAGAGAAUCAUGGCUUCUGGUAGUUGAACCAACCCUGACAUUUAGUCUUUACUGUAAGCAAAGCACUAGCAGAUUCAUUACUAAAUAUACCUUUACAGGCUAAAAUAGAAACCAUUUACCAAAGAGAGCAUAACCAGCAAAAAAGUGCAUAAUAAUUCCACUGAUGUAAGACUGGUUGUCCAUUGGUCCAGGCUGGGACUCUCUUCCCCCAUUUUGAUUACCUUAAGAGUAUAACUGUUUAGUGCUAACAAAGAUGUGGUAUUUAGUACUCCCUCCGUCCCAAAAUUCUUGUCUUAGAUUUGUCUAGAUACGGAUGUAUCUAAUACUAAAAUGUGAUUUGAUACAUCCGUAUUUAGACAAAUGUAAGACAAGAAUUUUGGGACAGAGGGAGUAGGUUAUAUUCUGAACUCCAACUUUCAGUGUACUAUGAGUCAGUAUGCUAUUUUACUAGUAAAAACACAAUAACUAAAUACCACAAGAAUUAAAGACAACCUUUAAGACGCAACCACGCAUGCAUCAUCUCAUGAGCUAAAAUUGAACCUGUCAACAAUCUAGAAGAACAAGAACUCAUUGGAGACUCGCAGAGUCAUGUCAACACAUUCAGAGUUCAUCAGGUCAAACAAUAAAAGAUGCAGAUGAUGAGACAGUGAUUCUUUAAGUAAAAGGAGAAGAUCCACCGAUGAAGCACAACAUUAAUGUUUUUGCUCAUUUGCUCCCUUCAGUAGGUUAUAUUCGGGACAUGUGGUGUUGGAUAUCUGGAGGUAUUCGUCCCAUAAAUCUGCAGCCAUGACAAGCAUCCUCAAGGUAGUCUUUACCUUCUGAUAUCCAGAGAAUAGUUCAUCUCAUCCUUGUGUCGGGACACCUUGUAGAGGCAAUCGAGUAUAGUUCAUCUCAUCCUUAAUCAACACCAGAGAAGGACCCGAAUAGUGCAUCAUGGACAAAGUAGUCAUCCAUGAACAUCAUAUGCCCUCGUGCUCUCUUCCAAUGAGGACGAAUCAUCGCAGUUACAUCCUCAUAUUCGUCCUCAUCUAAUGAGGACGAAUCCACGAACUCAACAUAGAAGUACUCCAAGGCCGAAUCAUCAUGUUUGCUUCAAAGUAAAUCAGUAAUACGUUAAUAAAUUUGUCUAUGGCAUUUGGCCGAACACUUACCGGAUGCAGUGUCCGCCAUGGACGGCAAUGUGCAGGGGAGGAGGGAACUUUGCGGCGGCCGGACCUGGGGUGGAAGGGAUGCGUAGGUAAGCCGGCUGGCGCCCGGGUGGAGCGGCGUAGCCGGUAAUACAGUGCUGACGGAGAUCUUGAACUAUGUUGAUACACUCCAUGGCGAAGGGAUAUAGUGAGUAAAAGCGGGGCUUUCGUGUGGGCUUUUUGUGUAGGCUGGGGGUGUAGAAGUCCGAUGUGGCGUUUGUCCAGACACGCACAAAUAACGUCCUCCAAAAUUGCUUCCAGUUUGCGAGAAAUCUACGUGCAGAUCGGUCCGCUAAUGUUUGGUGGACAGCGUUGGAGUGCUCAAAGUGUUUUGCCCGCAGGUCCGGACGUUUGCGGGUGGUUUAAUGGACGGCGUUGAAGAUGCCCUCGGUGGUUACCACCUGUUUUGUUCGUGCCGUUAGAGGGUCCUAGCCCGAUUCCUCCUCGUCCAAACAAAGCUCCUCUAAGUGACAGUCCAGUCGGACGAUUCUCCCUUUGGAGGUGAUGGCACCGUGCAUGAAUUUCUGUCCACUCACAAAGGGAACCAAAAUAUGCUAUGCUAGCCGAGUAUGGUUCCUAUCCUCCUUCCAUGAUGCAAUGUCACUACUAGGAGAGCAGUCUUGUUCUCUUUUCCUCUGUAUAAAUGUGGUGAUGCCUAGCUCAUCACUACCACUGUGGUCAUCAUGAGCUCGCUUGCAACUGCAAGAAGCAGCAACGCGCCGCUCCUCCUCCUCUUCCUCCUUCUCAUUUUUGUUUCUUUACUGCACAUCUGUGUGGGGGAUUAUCUCGAUGACGCCUCUGCUCCCGCCCCCACUCCCGCCACAGCCACCCCGUCCCCCUUCUCAUUCAGCUUUGAUUUCUCCAACGCAUCCACCUACCGCUUAGAAGACCUUAGGUUCGAGGGUGACGCAACCAUGCACGGCGACCUGGUUGACCUCACCUGCAACACUUUCGGGAAGAACCCAAAGUUUUGCACGGGACGGGUGUCCUACGGGCACCCCGUGCCGUUCUACGACAACGUCACCGGUGAGGUGGCCAGCUUCCAGGCGCGGUUCACCUUCGCGAUCCUCAUCGACGACUAUACUAUGAACUACAAGGGGGACGGCAUGACUUUCUUCCUUGGCUGUUACCCGUCCACGAUGCCGCUGAACUCGGGUGGGGGAAAUCUAGGCAUCAUGCCGGAUGGCGACGGCAAGAGCCGGACCGCCUUCGGGAACGACCGGUUCAUCGCCGUGGAGUUCGACACCUUCAACAACUCCUGGGACCCCAACACCACCUACGACCAUAUCGGCAUCGACAUCAGCUCCGUCAUGGACUCGGUGAACACGACAGUACUAGAUAGCUUCAGCCUCAAUGGCUCCAUGACGGCCACCGUCACCUUUGACAACACCACCCGGAUGCUGGUAGCCAACCUGCACUUUGAUGACCAUACUUACAUUGCCCCUGUUCAGGUCAGCACGCAAUUACCCGAUCCAGUCACCACCUUGCUCCCGCCUCAGGUUGCCAUAGGGUUCUCUGCAGCCACAGGCAAAGACAUGGAGCUGCAUCAGAUACUCUCAUGGUCAUUCAACUCCUCACUUGCUCCGCCUCACAAAGGUGGUUACUUAUUCGUUAUUUCUUCAAGGCAACUGCCACGAAAAGAUACUAAUUUAGUAUUCCAAGAGACAUUACUUAUUCCACUAGUUAAUCAAGUCUUGGCUCAGAUCUAUUAUGUACUCAAGUCAAUGGCUCAGAUCUAUUAUAUAUGUACUCUUACCUAGGUAAGAGUGAGCAUGCUAAAAUUUGCCAUACAUCAAGUACUAACAUGGUCCUUCAAGGCUUCAACUCCGCAUGUUAGUAAAAGAUGCUAAUAUGCUUAGAUCUCAUGUCGAUAUUCUGACGCUUCCAUCAACUAGGCCCCCUAGCAAAAGAUUAAUAUCGUCUAAAAAAGUAAAAGAUUAAUUAAUGUUCUUAUAAGCUUAUAGGUCCACAUGAAAGGCAUCUUAUGCUUAUCCUUUUAAGGCCUAAGUAUAAUUAUUUCUUCCAAUAAUAUGCUUAUGUCUCAUUACUGUUGUGUUCCUUCAACUUGGCCUGUCGGCAAAAAAUGCUAAAUAUGCUUAGACCUCCCACAAUGGAGUAUCAUAGGGUAUCGUCAGAUUGGGUAGUUUCGGGAAGAACCAAAAGUUCUGUACGGGACGGGUGACCUCAUCAUGCAAACCUCAUGCAAUGUUAACCAGCUAUAUUGCUGGCAUGAAAUAAUACUAAAUGAGGAAAGAGAUGAUGCCGUUAUCAUAUACUCCCUCCGUUCCAAAAUAAAUGACUCAACUUUAUACUAACAUUAGUACAAAGUUAGUAUAAAGUUGGGUCAUCUAUUUUGAAACGGAGGGAGUAAUUGAUAGCAUAGCGUAAUAAGUAUAAGGUGCUAGUUUGAGUCAUAAAAAAUAGAAAGUAAGGUCAUCUAAAAUAUCAAGACAUGAUACUAUGCAUUAAGGGUAUCAUAUGCGCGGAACUACUCACUGUAAGAGGUCUUAGAGCUCACAUCGAUAAGUAUCCUUAUAGCUCCACGGUGGUAUCUGAUGCUUCCUUCAACUAGGCACGCUAGCAGAAGGUACUAAUAUGCUUAUAGCUCACAUCUAUUUGUAUGAUUAUAGAUCCAUGGCAGUAUCUGAUGCUUCUUUCAUCUAGGCCCUCUAGCAGAAGGUGCUAAUAUGCUUAUAGAUCACAACAAUUAGUAUGCAUAUAUCCUUAUAGCUCAAAAUGAAAGGCUCUGAUGCUUAUCCAUAAACUUAGCAAACUAGGAAAAGGCGAUGCUAUGCUUAUAUUUCACAUAAAUUAAUAUGCUUCUAGCUAGGAUACUCUCAUGGUCCUUCAACUCUGGCAUGCUAGCAACAGAUGCUAAUAUGCUUAUUGCUCACAAUGAUUAAUCAAGUUGUAGCUCCAUGACAAUAUCCGAUGGUUACACCAUAAGAUACCCAUCACCAUGGUCCUUUAACUUGGCCAGCUAGGAAAUUAUGCUAAUAUGCUUAUAGCUCACAAUGACUAUUAUAUAAUUAUAGCUCCAAGAUAGUAUAUGAUUAUGACAAAUAUAUAUUACCUAUAUGCAUGACAUGGUCCUUCAACUCGCCCUACUAGGAAAAGAUGAUAAUAUGCUUAUAUAAAGAUCAUAACUAUGAAUAGGCUUAGAUGCUUAUACCUCCGUGGUAGUACCAGAUGCACAUAAGCACCAAAUACCCUCAUUGUACUUAAACUCUGCCUGCUAGGAGAGAAAGUUAACUUGGACACAUGAAUUAAUACAAUUAACUACUAGUGUUAUUUCUGUGCAUGUAGAUCAUGACAUGAAGGCUGCAGUUGUUGGAGGGUCGCUUGGAGGAGUUGUAGCAUUGGUGGUUAUGGUGUGGUGUAUCAUUGCAUGUUUCAAGUGGACAAGGAGCACAAGCCAUGAGGCACGAACUGGAGGACCCAAACGGUUCGAAUACCGCGAGCUGGCUUCUGCAACAGACAACUUCUCUAAGGAGAGGGUUAUUGGGAGAGGUGCCUUUGGAGAAGUCUACAGGGGUACAUUCUCCAAGGGAUCAUCAUCGGGUGCUCAGAAUCAGGCGGUAUGUCCUCCAAGGAAUCAUGUUCAUCAUCCUCCAAGGAUUCGGGUGCGUCAUCGAACUCAAACUCGAAAGAAUCAUACAGCGGUGAGGUGGCUGUAAAGAAGAUCUUGAAUGAGACAAGGGGAGGAAAUAUGGACUUCUUCGCGGAGAUGAACACCAUUAGUGAAGCAAAGCACAAGAAUCUCGUCAAACUGAAAGGUUGGUGCUGCAAGGAUAGUAACCGAAACAUGCUCGAUUUUAUGUGCUGGUGCUGCAGGAAGAAGAAGGAUGAAGAACUCUUCCUUGUCUAUGAGCUGGUGCCUAAUGGCAAUCUGGAACACCACCUACACGAGAAUGAGCAAGUGAUACAGUGGCCAACAAGGUACUAUACAAUAUCCAUCAUUGUUCUAAAUAGUGACGGUCUUCCAAAUCAGCUAUAGCGAGGCUAUACCUGGCUAUUUCAGAUAAUUGUACACGAAUCCUAUAACUGCUCAUUUAGCGGCUCCCUGCUCAAACCGCGGAGCUAUAGCCUGCUAUUUAAAACUUUGAUAUCCAUACAUGUGCAGCUUAUUUAUUUAUUUUGUGAUGAUUAAUGUUGUUAAUUAUUAACAUUGUAGCAUAUUCAUGAACUCAUGUAUUUAACUAUGUAUGUCUUGCAGGUACCAAAUCGCUAAAGAUAUUGGCUCUGCUCUUGUUUACCUCCACCAUGACUGCUCCCCGUACAUUCUGCACAGAGACAUCAAACCAGCCAACAUUCUCCUAGACAACAACUUCAACGCCAAGCUUGCUGACUUUGGGCUGUCGAGGAUCGGCAACCAGGACAAUGCGACGCUAGUGACGACCGCUGUUGGGACGGAAGGGUACAUAGAUCCACAGUGCAGGAAAUCAGGGAAAGUCAAGUUCAACCUUAGCUCAGACGUCUAUAGCUUCGGGAUCGUCCUGCUGGACAUCACGUGCACACGGAAGUCCAGGGAGCAAGUCUGGGAUCUGUAUGUAAGGGGCAGGGUGCUGGAAGCUGCAGAUGAUAGGCUAUAUGGCUGUGGCGACUUGGACAUGAGCCAGCUGGAGCGUGUGGCUAUCCUAGGGCUCUGGUGUUCUCUUCCUGACAGUAGGAAGAGGCCUACCAGUCAGGAAGCAAUGGAGGUCCUCGAACGUGGUGUGUCGUUGCCUGACCUUAAUGACUUGUUGAACACUACUUCGGUGCCCUCCACAAUGCAACAAGAUACCUACACUACUAGUAGCUCCGGCCCGCAAGCACCUCCGUCAGAUGAAAACCCUUUUGGUGAGCGGCAUGCAUGACUUCUGGGGGUCAAUAAUGCAUUGCAUAGUUGCUUCUCUCAUCUACUUAAUGUGUUCCAAUAAGCGUCAUGUUGGUAUGGGUUUACAUUCAUGCCGGAUUGGCCAUAUGUUGUAUGGACGUAAUAUAGAGUUACGUGUAACACACUGUGUGUAUGCAUUUGCUUUGCAUUCAUGUUUGUUUGCUGAUAUAUAGAUAUGGAUGUAAUAAGAGGUUAUGUGGCAGAUACAUCGUACGUGUGGUCUUGUUUGCAUUCAUAUUGGUUUAAUAAACUUGGUUAACUCAGUAAUGGGACUCGGUCAUCUCCUUUUCUUACUUCCUGCGUCAAGAAAGCAUGCAACUCUCAUAUAAUUUUUUAAGAGGUCGAGUUGCUGCAAUGCAAUAAAUAGUCAUAUUCCUAAGUUUUCAAAACAAAAAUUAAGGACAGGAAUAGCUGGGGACGUCGGCUGGGGGGUUUACCUGCAGCGAACUACUGGUUCCCCAUGGGGGUGGGGGGUAGAACCAGCGAACCAGGUCAUGACGACCAAUACGAGCCCUGCCCCCGACUUCUACUAGGCUGGACGAUUUCUACUAGGCCUUUAAAAAAAAUGACAAAUUUUGAAAACAAAAAUGGUUCUUCUGUUCACAUGACAAAAUUAGAGAAAUAAGUUUGUAGAAAAAAGCAUAGCAAAUUUCCAUGAUCCAAAAACGAAAUUAAAAUAAAUUACCUAAACAGGAAGUACCUACAAAAUGUGGCAAAUAAAAACAAAAAUCUAGUUGCCAACUCUUCUACAAUCACUACUCGGAAAUUCAUUUUUGCCGAGUGUCACAGUCUGUGCCGAGUGCAUUUCGUCCGGGAAUCGGCAAAAUGUCUUUGCCAAGUGUCAUCGGAAAAAUACUAGGCAAAAAGCGAAACUCGGUAACCGGAGCUUUCCGGAGUGUCGUGGACAAAACACUGGGCAAAAAAGAUAAUUCCCGAGCGCUACACUCAGCAAAAGGGUGUCUUUUCUGAGUGAUACACUCAAUAAAAAUGGGUAUUCGCUGCGCUGCAAUGUUUUGGCUGUCGAGAUUCCAUACGACCUCGGAUAAAGAUGAUCCAAAAAUCAAAGCUUUUCAUUUUGACAAGGCGAAUAAUUUUUAUGUUGAGCACCUUUCAUUUAAGGCAGUCUUAAUUACACUUUUUGCCAUGACAACAUAUGGUUUCGACACAUGGCCCCUGCAAAUGCAUGGAAAAGGUUGUAAAAUUAGCUUGAAAAUGCUAUGUGUGAUCUUUAGUCUAUGUUAGGCUUUGUCCAGGACAAGGGGAGGAAUUUCAAACAUGAUGAUACCAAGAUUGACUCAACCCCAAACAUCAAGUUAUCCAAGGAAGAAUCGUGGUUUCGAGAGAAAACAUGUCACCUUUGCAGGCAAUUCGACUGCUGCUUCAUCCUUUGGCCUUGAUUUUUUUUAAAUACUUAGUCGAUACCGUUACAUGAUCCAUGUAAAAAUUGGCAUCUUUCGAGGUACGUUAGCUAUAUUUAAGUAAUUAAAUCCAUUUGUAGGUAAUUAAAACCUUAUUCCGUCUUCAGGGACUGUCAUCGUCUCACCUUCCCGAACAAGACACAGACCUUGACAGAACACGAAGAAACAUCUAAAAACAUAGCCCUCCCUCCGGCAAAGGCCGGGAUCCACCGUUCCCUCGUGGCCCUAAGACCGCCGGAGACAAGGCAGAACGGCUGCAGUGCCGACGGGAGGUAGAGGACCACUAAACUUUGUUUAGGGAAGAGGCGGCUGCGUGAGGAGGCGGCAAACUAGUAUGCUUUGGCGCAGAAUUUCCAUGUAUUGAAUAAUGUAGGUGGCACUGUUCUUUUAUUUUCAAGGUUACUAAUUAUUUUUCCAUAUAGAAGAUCACACUUAGAAAUGUUUUGACCAGUAAAGUUCUAGAUGGUCUUACAUUUUGGAUCGUCUAACUCAAGGGGGGGAAUAAAGAUUGUGUGGGCAUGGACAAUGUCUUUAAGAUGUAAUCUGAGUCUUCAGCCACUGGCUUAUGCUGCAACAUAUGUAUAACGGCCAACCAACACAAAUGAUAUUUCAAGAAUACUUCUCGAGACAAAUCUAUGCACCUGAUUUUUUUUUUAAGUUUCUGAUCUAUACUAGAUAGUAAAAACGAUAUGGAUGGCCAAAGUAUUUAAUGUUUUAACUUACUAUAUACGUAAAAAGUGACACUUUUUUGUGAACCGCAGGGAGCACAGAAUAGGACGUCGAUUUGUUUGUACCCGAAGAUGCUUCCCAUUGCCGUGCUUGACUCACAUACCCACCAAGUCUUCCUUGUCUCUAACACCACACAACUUGCCGGUAGGUGGUAAGUCGUGUUCUCCGAAGAUGCCAAACUAGACUCAGUCAUUGCGUUACUGGUUUUUAGGAGAAAAUGAAGGCCACAGCAAUAUGCUACAUACGUUGAGGCAACCAGCUAGCAAGCUAGCAGCGCACAACUUAGCCACCAUGGACGCGUGGGCAUGUUUGCAAGUGUAAACUCUGAAAGGAGAUCGUCGCAUCUUCUCCGACGAUUCUCCGGAGAAGAUACUGCACAUAUGAUAAUAUAUAUUGAUGAAAUUACGUAUGUACAUACUACACAUAUAUGUAUAUGUACAUUUUUUUUUCAGAUUUAUGUAGGUGUAGAAACAAUGAUUUUCAUAGAAAAUGAGCUAUAUAGAGCUUCUUACCGUGUUGUAUGUUUUGAGAUUUCAAGAAUUCCUAUAUAUUUGUUACGGUUUAGAAAAAAUGACAUUCUAACAUAAAAUGAAUAAUAUUAUAUGAUUUUGUAUUGUCAAACCAUAACUUCUGCCUCACUCAAGAAAUUGCAUUAAAAAGAAAAUAUAGAUGCAUGGUGCCUGCGCGCAACAUUUUUUUUCUAUAUUCAUCUUGUAAAUUUGCAUCAUACUCACUUUUGUUGCACUAAAGAUGAUGCACUCGCAUUUGUGAGGGCCACUUUGCUAGCUAGUUAAAGAAAAGAACGUUAGUAUAUGGCCAUGGACGCUUAGCAUUUUCUUUUUUGCCGAAUGAUGCUUAACACUUAAUUAACAUAUGAAUUGUAUGUAUCUGUGUGGUGCCUGAGUACGUCGUUUGAUAUUUGAACGGACAUGUUGGUGACUUUUUGGCAGAAAAAAGUCAGCAUCAAGAUUAAUUAUGAGCAUGUAUUGCAGAUUGUUUAGUACUUUUCUCUGGGGGACAAAUUUACUUGAUCAAUUCGACGUCAAUAAAUAAAUGUCUUAACAAUAAUUUGAGGGGUGAAUAUAUAGUUCUCCCUCUGUAAAAAAAUAUAAGAGCGUUUAGAUCACUAGUGAUCUAAAUGCUCCUAUAUUUAUUUGCAGAGGGAGUAUGUAACUAUCUUGUUUUAUUUUUGCAAGAGAUACUACAUGCUAUAAGUCGACAAUUGUUUGUAGUGAAGACACUGCCACCAAUUGUCAUUUUCGUGCUUGACCCAAAUACUCCUCAAUUUGUCUUUUAAUUAGCACCAACUUGCCGGUAGGUACGCCAUUUUUGUUGAAACCACUCUCAAGCUAUCAAUUUAAUAAACUCAAUUAUUGGGCUAGUUGCUGGGAGAAAAGUCAAAUCAAUGCUACAUACGUACGCUCAAGUAACCAAAACCAGCACAACUAGGCUAUAGCUAGCAGGCGUCUAUAGACCACCAAGGCACCAACGUCCACCAUGUACGAUGCAGAUGCAAGUGUAAACUCUAAGAGGAUUGCGCAUCUUCGGGGAAGCAAGAGCUUGGGGAUCUGAUCGGCACAUAAGAACAAGGUACGUACCACCGACGACAGAUUCAGUUCAGUGCUGUACCGUCUGCUGUUUGCUGCAAAUUUAGUGAGCAGUUCUAGCAGGCCACCGGAAAGCUACAAGCGUCUGGUACCUCUGACAAAUCCGAGAAGACUGCGAAGUCGACGUGUCCCUUCUCCGCUUCGCCUCCUGCAAAGUGCCGCCGGACCGCAUACCCCGCCUCACCUUCACCUCAGCCUGUCACCCGUGGCACAGGAGAAGGUAGGAUCUUGUGUUCCCAUUCUGUUUUGAAAGAAGGAUAUAUAUACUCUAGCUAGUUGUUGAAAUCUCGAAUUUUGAUGGUUGAUUCCCUAAUGAUGUUGAAACGAUAGCACCGAUUCCUCGGAAUUUCACCUUCAAAUCUCCCUACUCAUGCAUCAAUUCGAUUUUAAUUAUAGCCACAUUUAACCUGUUAAUUAGCACAUGAUUUGUUGAGUGUUUCACAAAAAAACUACCAGAAUUCGAUCAAAAUUAGAAACCCAAUCCAAAACCAAUGCCAUCAAUUAAAUGAGAGGCUACCAAUCCUAAGGAGCUUACUGAUAUAGUAGACUCGUUUGCAGUAGUCCCAUGAAGAUGCGAAUAAUUAAUACGAAUGAUUAAUUAGAGUUUACUACGGAUUCAUUAGCAUUUGUUGUGGGGAACAAAUUAAUUAGGAUUGAUUACAGAUGGAAGGACAAAUCUACCACAACCAGUCAUUGUUAGAAAAUACGAAAUUACCAAACCCUCCUUGAGACAAACUUUGGGUCCAACAUAAUUACUAUUGGAUCCAACCAUAAUUACUAUUGGAUCAGUUAUAUACUACACCUUAAAAUCUGUAGUAAGAUGUACCGUAAAAUAACUCUUAUUGUUUGUGGGUAUAAAUAUGAAGUAAGAGGGUUGCUUAAUUUGUGAGGUUCUACUUAAUUUCACUUUUCAGCUGUUCCUGCAAAGUUUUUGGCACGUGCUUGCUAUUAUUAAAAUAUAUGAAAAUAGUUAAAUUAAUGCAGCUAUCGCUUUAUUAUGCAGAUGGUCACCUAGAGACAGUGAGGAAAAUAUGCACCUAGGCCUCCAACCAACAGUGAGGCAUUAGCAACUCUCCGAGAGAAAGUAAUGGCUGAAAUUGUUCUUCUUCUAGUCAUUGAAAAGAUGGUAAUCGCCGUAGCAAAUGGAGCAGCAAAUCAGGCGAGUGCUCAUUUUUCCAAGUAUGGGACCCAACUAAUAGAGCUACAGGGCAGCAUGGGCCGCGUUGUUAGGGAGCUUCGUAUAAUUCAUGAUGUUCUAUGUCAAAUGGACAUUCGAAACCGCCACAAUCAAGUGUAUGAGGGCUGGUUGGAUGAGGUGCGGAAGGUAGCACAUGCGAUGGAGGAUAUGGUGGAUGAGUACAUGUAUCAAGUUGGCCGGGAACAUGAUACUGGGUGUUGCUUCUACCUGAAGAAAGGGCUUAGAAAACCAAGAUCUCUGCUUUCCUUGAAUCAGAUAUCUUCCAAAGUGAAGGAAAUAGAGAAAGACCUUGCACACCUGUCAGAGAUGAAAUACCGAUGGGUUCCCAUGAUAAACAAUGAAGAUACUGGCAGCUUGAAUUACAUGGUCAAGAAGUCUCAAGAUCUAGCAAACAUCUCACGUUCCCUUGAUGACGAAGAUCUAGUUGGGGUGGAUGAAAAUAGAGGAAAACUUGAGCAAUGGUUGGGAAGUGACGAUGUGGAACGUUCCCUGAUAACACUGAUAGGAAUGGGUGGGCUGGGCAAAACAGCUUUAGCAUCAAAUGUCUAUAGGAAAGAGAGAGAGAAAUUUCAGUGCCAUGCAUGGGUCUCCAUCUCUCAAACUUAUUCUAGAGAAGAUGUCUUGAGGAAUAUAAUCAAGGAAUUAUUCAAAAAUGAAGUCAGUGGUCCAUCAAACAUUGCAGCGAUGGAUAUCACAAGCCUUGAAGAGACAUUGAAGAGGUAUCUAGGGCAAAUGAAGUAUUUGAUCAUAUUAGAUGAUGUUUGGACUCCAGAUGCAUUUGAAGACCUGUCUAGGUCACUUGUUUGUAAUGGUAAGUGAAGCAGAUUGAUAAUCACAACACGGCAGGGUGAUGUUGCCGCACUUGCUUCUCAAGGACACAUAUUAACACUUGAACCUUUACCAGAAGACAAGGCUUGGGAUCUUUUUUGUAAGAAAUCUUUUCCAAAAGAAACAAACCAUCACUGUCCUGAGGAGUUGAGGCUUUUGUCCGAGGAAAUACUUAGCAAGUGCAAAGGAUUGCCUCUUGCUAUUGUGUCAGUUGGCAGCCUCUUGCAUGUGCGUGAGAAAACCGUUGAAGAAUGGAAAAGAAUAAAUGACCAAUUGAGUUGGGAGAUACUUAAUAACUCAAGGCUCGACCACAUAAGGAAUGUGUUGCAUCUGAGCUAUAUCUACCUUCCAACAUACUUGAAGAGUUGUUUCCUGUACUGCAGCCUAUUUCCAGAAGACUAUCUUUUUCGCAGAAAAACUCUUGUACGGUUAUGGACGGCGGAGGGGUUCAUCGUGGAGAGGGGUGUAAGCACAUUAGAAGAAGUGGCAGAAGGUUAUCUGAAGGAGUUGGUUAACAGGAACAUGCUACAACUUGUUCGCAGGAAUGCAUUUGGUAGGAUGAAAAGAUUCAGAAUGCAUGAUAUCAUACGUGAAUUGGCAGUUGAUUUGUGCCAGAACUAUCGUUUUGGUGUUAAAUCUGAGGAUUAUAUAUGCGGGGGUACUCUUCAUAGGGAUGGACGGAGAUUGGUAGUGCACAAACUAAAGAAGGAUAUUCAUCAUUCAUUUUCUAGCAUACAUGGACUUCGAACUUUCAUUACACUGGACAAAAGCAUGCCGCCAUUAACCCUGCUACCUCUAAUAUCUGAGAAUUCAAGAUAUAUGACAGUGCUAGAAUUAACUGGCCUACCUAUCGAGAAGAUUCCCGAUGCUAUUGGUGAUCUUUUUAAUCUCCGCCAUUUGGGCUUGCGGGAUUCAAAAGUGAGGUAUCUCCCAAAAUCCAUCGAGAAGCUUUUGAAUCUGUUGACACUGGACCUCUGUAGAUCUGACAUACAUGAGUUGCCUAGAGGGAUUGUCAAGUUGAAGAAGCUUAGGCACUUGUUUGCUGAGAAAGAAACUGUGUCAGGACGAGACUUUGGACUUAGCAGUGGUGUAUGCAUCCCCAUUGGGCUUGGGAACCUAACAAACCUGCAGACUCUACAAGCGUUGGAAGUGCAAGAUGAAUCCAUUAAGCAACUAGUGGAGCUAAGGCAACUCAGAAGCUUGAAGAUAUGCAAUGUGAAGGGAAUCUACUGUGAACACCUCCACGAGUCUCUGGUGCAGAUGCCAUUUUUGUCCUACCUAUAUGUGGGUGCAAGUGACAAGAAUGAAGUUCUCAUGUUGAACACCCUCCCGACUAGCCUGCAAAAGUUAAGGUUGAACGGAAGAUUGCCGGAAGGGACACUUUCGAGGGGGUCUACUCUCUUUCAAGGUGUGGAGCAGAACAUGUAUUCACUACGCCUGUCUUGGUCGCAGUUGAGAGAAGACCCUUUGCCAUCCCUUUCCCAGUUGGUGAAUUUGACAGUUCUUCACUUCUUUAGAGCAUACAAUGGAGAGAAGCUGACGUUUCUCACGGGAUGGUUUCCCAACCUGAAGCAUCUCUCUCUAAGAGACAUGCCUAACCUGAAGCGACUAGAGAUAAAGCUAGGUGCCAUGGCGACCCUGGAAUCAUUUACGUUAGGCAGCCUAAACAGCAUGGCGGAGGUCCCACCUGGCCUUGAGUUUCUCAUGCCCCUCCAGUAUCUAGGCUUCUUCCAAAUUACCCGCGACUUCCUCAAGUUGUUGUACCAAUGUCCUCAACUUGUUUGUACGCAAUGGCAACACACUCUCCGCGACGACGACGACGAUGACGACCGGUGAUCCUCCCAUAACUUGCAUGUAAGUUGAUCCCUCUCGACUGUGAAAUAGCAUUAUCAGUUUAUCACUUAUAUCACUCUCAGCAUGUUAAUUAGUGCACUGAACACCUUGCUGGUUAUGUAGGCCGCCAUAGAAAAAGGAAGAUAUAUGCGCCUCGGUUCGAUAUCUGUUCUACUGCUGCUCUACAAGACUGGGCUGCUAUAUUGGUUGCUUGUGAAGUGUGAUAUUCAGAGUUCCUACUGAUUUCGUCUGUGGCGUUGAAAUAACAAGACACAUCCUGCUUGUGUCGCAAGACUGAAUUACUCGAUCACUUUUUACGCGUUAAUGCGUUCAACUAUUGUGUGUAUUCUAUUCAUGUGAGCUUGUAAACUAUGAUCGGUACUGUCUAUUCCGGCCGUGCGUGUUGAAUAACUAAACCAUUUGCGUGAAUUUGUGCGCCCAACUAUUGUGUGUAUUCUAUCCGUGUGGGCUUGUAAACUUUAAUCGAUACUGUAUGUUCCAGUCAUGCCUGUUAAAUAAAUAAACCAUUUGUGUAAGAAUUUUCCUUGUGUAUAGCAUUUAUUAUAUUUAAAGUUAGUACAAAGUUGAGUCAUCUAUUUUGGAACGGAGGGAGUAAAAUGGCAUUGAUGACGAUGAGGAGGAAUAGAGUUCCAUAAUUGCAAUUUUCAUGUGAAAAAACCUUCAGCCUAGCUAUACAAAUGAGUGACAAUCAACUACUAGUAGUUUGCAAUGACGACCAAUUCCGGUUGUUGCUAAGAUUGCAGAAUCCUGACAAGAGUAUUAGACAAACCUAAGAAAAGAAUUUUGGGACGGAGGGAGUACGUAGUAUCAAGUUACAGAAUAGGACAUUGCCAGGUGACCAGGGACGCUUAACACUAUUUAUCUAUUGGGUAGGCUGUAGAGGGGACAAAUAGUUACCCAAGAUAGCCUUAUCUUUUUUCCGCCUUUUUAACAUUACAAGAUACAUGUAUAUUCCGCCUUUUUAAAAGAUGACGCGCAAAUAUCACCCUCGAGGCCACGACAUAUAUACGGAGUGUACUUUUCCUUAUUAACUUUAUCGUCGCAUAAGAAAUACCACUGUUUCCAUUUCCAUUUUUGAUCUCCCUCAAUACAACAGAUUGGUCAGGGCAAGCCACCUCGAUGCAUCUCUAAUAAUAUACUGUGCUCAGCCCUUCCAAGAAAAAAUAUCAGCCACACGUUUGUACAAUUUGUGCAUUUCAAAAUUCAUUUUCUCUUUCCUGUAAACGGACUCUCGACAACAAAUCGGUAUAUAACUUCCGCAGAAAGGUGCAUCUCUGACAUUCUCAGAACGGCAAUGUCCCUGUCAGCCGGAUGUGCUCGAGGGUGCGCUUCAGGCCGUACUGCUGAACAACCCGGUUCCCAGCCCUGAAACCGUCCCCGUAGGCAACGGAGGUGUCCGACUCGAUCUGGUGCUUGAAGAAGUCGCCGAGCUUCCGCUCGAACUGAGACCUUCCGCCCUUCUUCGACGAUGCGGACGACGAAGAGGAUGAGGAUGUCGACGCGGCGUUGCUGCC